CUACGGGACGCAGCAGUGAGGAAUAUUGGUCAAUGGGCGGGAGCCUGAACCAGCCAAGCCGCGUGAGGGAAGAAGGUACAGCGUAUCGUAAACCUCUUUUGUCAGGGAACAAAGGCGGGGACUAGUCCCCGGAUGAGGGUACCUGAAGAAAAAGCAUCGGCUAACUCCGUGCCAGCAGCCGCGGUAAUACGGAGGAUGCGAGCGUUAUCCGGAUUUAUUGGGUUUAAAGGGUGCGCAGGCGGCCUGUUAAGUCAGCGGUAAAAGCCCGGGGCUCAACCCCGGCGAGCCGUUGACACUGGCGGGCG
rnacentral:rRNA from 1 species